rnacentral:tRNA from 1 species
GGCAGUUCGUUCAAUGGUAGGACACGGGCCUUUGAAUCCCGUAACACGGGUUCAAUUCCCGUACUGCCUG